ACAAAGAAAAUUGUCACAAUGUUGUUUUUACUUUUUUAUCCAAUAACACCGCGUUUUAACAUACCCUAUAAAAACUUUUCACUCGAAACGCUGCGUUUUAAUCGUUGUUUCCUAAAUUCAUUUUUUGGAGUCUCUUUCCCCAAAUCACUUUCGCUCUAAAUCCAAAAUCCCUACCCAAAUUUUCCGCUAGUUAGCCCACGCUCCGUUCAAUUUUAGUCUGUGUCAGUGGUGGAAAUCGAACCAGAGCAACCACUCACAACCUCUCCCAAAUUCGGCAUCCAACGUUUCUUCAAGAGUCACACUCAAAACGACGAUCGAGCGGAGAGACGUUUGCUGUGGUCUGAUCGGUGUAGAGUGACACAGUUCGCGGCAACUUACCACUACGGAAGGGGACAGCGCGGCACUGAUGAGGAGCUUCCUUCUUGGACGAGAGGAAGAGGUGUAGGAGGUAGUCAAAGAGUGAUGACCUGGAUGCAGAGGAAAGGCUUGAAGAAUGGGAGAAUGUGGACAAUGCGUGAAGGAGUUUAUGAGACUCUUUGAGGAGAUCUGCAUCUCCCUGCUUGCUUGGAAUGCUAUCUGCUACUCCUUUGCUUUCUACUGUGUUCUUCUACUGUGUUGUUGUCUGCCAUUAAUCAGUAGCUUCUGGGAUACAACUUGAACAUAGGUCCGAUGACACAGGAGCAUCUGCUGAUCAAAUUUCUCACCUACUUAGUUGGAAAUAUAAAGCAAUUGACAUCAAGUUAGGACAUUGAAAUGAUAUUAACUGCAUUUUAUGUUGUGGUUCUCUGAUCACUUUAGAGAAGAAAUAUGAGAAGAGAAAUAAAAAGAAUUCUAUUACUCUUUUGGAAAUAGAAUACAAAACAUAAACUUCUCUCUCUCUCUCUCUCUCUCUCUCUCUCUAAUUCCCACGUGGAAUCUUUCUCCAUUUACUAUCAAACUCUCUCCUGGAAUUUCAACUCUUCUCUCAAGCUCUCUCUGAAGACUUAAACACUCUCUCUUAGAGUUUACUCUCAAUAUUCCUCACUUGGGAUGAUAUUGAGUUUGCUCGACUUGGCUUGGAAAUGCAUGCAACGGGCUUAUUUAUAACCUUACUAAGUCAGUUGCAUGGCCAUCAUCUUCAAUUUCUUUUGACAGGUGUCCACAAUUGUUGAGCAAAUUAUUUUUCGGUGUUAAUUGCAGCAACCAUUGUCAACAAUGAUGGCUGAACAGUCUUCAUACUGUCGGUGCAGUGGUGCGGUUGAACUUCACAAUUCUCCUCUUCCAGCCGCAUUUAAAAACUGAUGGUCAUCUGCCAUCCAUUCCAGUCAUAUUUUUGUAUAGCUUCAGCUUCUCUUGAGUAACAAUUUUUGUUAGCAUAUCUGUUGGAUUCUCCUUUGUAUGGAUCUUCAUCGGUUUCAGCAACUGUUGUCUAUUAUCUUGCGUAUCCAAUGAUAGCGGAUGUCAAUGUGCUUUGUACAGGAAUGAUACAUUGAGUUCUUGCUCAAAUCUAUGGUAUUUUGGUUAUCACAAUGUAUUUUGUAGUCUUCUUAUUUGAUGCCCAGUUCUGUGAGAAAACACUUUAACCACAACAUUUUUUUAUCCGCUUCUGCUGUGGCAAUGUAUUCUACUUCAGUAGUGGAUAAAGCAACACUUUUGCAAUCUUGACUGCCAUGACAUAGCUUCUUCCGUAAAAGUGUAGAGAUAACCUGAUGCAGACUCUCUAUUAUCAGGGUCUUCGGCCAUAUCUACCUCUGUAUAGCCUUCUAAGAUUGGAUCACCUCCCAUGUAAUACAAACACAGCUUUAAUGUGCCUUUAAGAUAUCUAAGAAUCUAUUUGACUGCUUUCCAGUGUUUCUUUCUAGGAUUUGAAAAAAAUCUGCUCACAACACAUACUGCGUGAGCAAUGUCUGGUCUAGUACACACCAUUGCAUACAUCAUUUCCUAUCGCUGAAGAAUAUAGUAUUGAAGCCAUCUCCUCUAUCUCUUCUUUGGAUGAAGGGCGCAAUCUCUUACUCAACUUGAAAUGAUUUGCAAGUGUAAUGUUGAUCGGCUUGGUUUUAUCCAUGUUGAAUCUCUUUAUCACCUAUUCUACAUACUUCUCUUGAGAUAACCAUAACCUUCUAUUCUUUCUGUCUCGGAUUAUUUGCAUUUCCAAAAUUUGUUAAGCUGGUCCUAAGUCUUUUAUAUCAAAGGAUUUAGAUAAUUCUUUUUUCAGCUGACUAAUCUUCAUUGCAUCUUGUCCAACGAUCAACAUGUCAUCCACAUAUAGCAAAAAUGCAAUGAAGUUUCCAUCUGAAAAUUUUUGCAUAUAAACACACUGGUCUGCUGUAGUCCUUUUAUAGUCUUGACUUACUAUAAACGAGUUAAACUUCUUGUACCAUUGUCUUGAUGCUUGUUUGUGGCCAUACAAACUCUUCUUCAGCUUGCAUACGAGGUUUUCUUUCUCUUAAAUCUUAAAUCAUUCUGGCUGCUUUUUGUAGAUUUUCUCAUAUAAAUCACCGUGAAAAAAUGCUGUCUUCACAUCCAUCUGUUCAAGCUCUAGGUUUAAACUUGCUAGUAAAUCGAAAAUGAUUCGAAUUGAAGUCAUUUUUACCAUUGGUGAAAAAAUUUCAUCAAAGUCAAUUAUUUUUUUCUGAAGAAAUCCUUUGACUACCAAUCGCGUUUUGUGUUUUACCACCCUUUCGCUGCCAUUUUUCUUGAGCUUGAACACCCAUUUAUUUUUUAGUGCCUUCUUUUCUGUUGGAAGCUCAACCAACUCAUAAGUAUGAUUUUUCUGUAAGGAUUCCAUCUCAUUUUGCAUUGCUUGUAGCCAUUUUUCCUUGUCUUGAUGAGCAGCUAUCUUGAAAUUCUCUGGCUCUUCUUUUUCAGUAAGCAAAAUAUACUUAGAUUCUGGAAAUCUCUUUGAUAGAAUUUGGCCUCGUUCAGAUUCCGAACUUGUAAACCACUGGUUUCAGGAGGUAUACCAUCAUUUGAUCGCUGUUAUGGCCCUGCAGCUGCUUGAGAGGAUUGAGUCUCUCCCUGUUCAAUAUCCUCUUCUUCCUCCUCGUCUGCUUCUGGUAUAUCUUCAUACACCUUAUUAUUCUCUGUGGCUAUUUGUGUUGGUGCUGGAAUAGGACCAAAAUUCUCGGUACUAGAACUACAAUUAGGAGAUAUUCUGGGUUUUCAAUGUCUUCCAUUGUCUGGUUUUCAUGGAAUGCUACAUCCCUACUUUUAAUAAACUUCUUUGUUUUCGGAUCCCAUAACCUGUAUCCAAAUUUUUCAUCUCCAUAUCCUAUAAAGAUGCAUGGAGUAGAUCUUGUAUCAAGCUUCUAUCUAAGCUUCUUAGAUACAUGUAUAUAAGUUAAACAACCGAACACUCUUAAAUGAGAGUAGGAGAGAAUUUUAUCUGACCACACUUUCUUCGGAAUUUCAAAAUUCAACGGUACUAACGAUGAUUUGUUGAUUAAAUAGUAGGCGGCACAAACAUUUUCUCCCCAGAAUGGCUUUGGCAGUUUAGCCAUACUGAUCAUACUUCUGACCUAUUCCAUAAUGGUUCGGUUUAUUUUUUUGGCUAUUCUAUUAUGUUGUGGGAUGCGAGGGAUCGUCUUUUCAUAUCGAAUGCCAUGUGUUCUGCAGUAGGCAUCGAAUUUCUUGGAAGUAUAUUCUCCAUUAUCUGAGCGGAGAUAUUUCAGCUUCUUUCCUGUUUCACAUUCUACCAUGGUAUGAAACAGUUUGAAGCAAUCUAAUACCUGGUCCUUUGUCUUUAAGAAAUAUACCCACACCUUCUGAGAAGCAUCGUCAAUGAAAGUCAGGAAAUACUUGUUGCCACCUGAUGAUUCCACCUCCAUGGGACCAUAAACAUUAGAGUGCACCAGACUGAGCAAUUCUGAUUUUUUCGAUGCAGAGGAACUGAAAGAGCGUCUAUGUUACUUACCAAACAAGCGGUGACUACAAAGAUUUAGCAUAGCAUCCUUGCAAACAGUGAUAAGCUUCUUCUUGACCAAAGUAGACAAUUCUUUUUCACUCAUGUGACCAAGUCUCUGGUGCCACAGAUUUUGAGAUACCUCUCCUUCUGUAAUAUUAAGGCUAUCUGCACAUAUUUUCACAUCUUGUACAACGUUCUACAAAUAUGUCCUCUGACGACAACUAUGGGACCUUUCGUCAUUUUCCAUGUGCCUUUGCUGAAGUAGUUGUCAUAGCCUUGCUUGUUUAAGGCUACUCUCGAAAGUAGAUUAAGCCGAAGAUCUGGAACAUGACGGACAUCCUUCAAAGUAAUUGUACAACCAACAUUCGUUUUUAUCUGAAUAUCACUAGUUCCUAUAAUCUUUGUGAAACUAAAAUUUUCCAUCUUUACCGUACCAAAGUCUCCUGUUUUGUACGUCUUGAAGAAAUCUCUGUGUGAAGUGACAUGGUAGGAUGUUGCAGUAUCGAUUACCCACUCAACGUCUUAGGUUGAUAUACGAAGGCAUGUCUCUUUUUCAGUGGAGCAGAGUGCCACUUUUCCUGUAACAGUGACUAGUGUGUAUCCAUCCUUCUUCGACUGAUUACCUUGGAAUCUCUGUUCUCUCAACAACUUCCUGCAGUUCUUCUUCAUGUGAUCCUUCAGGCCACAAUAAUAGCACUUAUAUGAUGAUUUUUAGUUGUCUGUAGAUCUGCUUCUGCUUUUGCUCCUGUCUAUCCCCCUAUCUCGACCACCUCUUUGCUGUCUUCCUCUCUCUGUGACGAGCGCAUGUGACUGAUCCAUGCCAAUGUCCUUUCUCCUGGCUUCUUCAUUAAAUAGGGCAUCCUUAACCAUAGACAUAGUAAGUUUGCUAUUCGGGACCGAAUCACUGAAAGAGACUACCAAUGUCUCCCAACUGUAUGGAAGAGAGCUUAGAAGUAGGAGGGCCUGAUCCUUAUCCCCUAGUUGGUAAUCCACAGCAGAUAGUUGAUUUACCAAGCUUUGGAACUCACUAGUAUGUUCGGCUACAGAAGUUCUACUCUGUAAUUUUAGAUUUACCAAUCGUUUAAGCAACAGGGCUUUGUUCCAAGCAGUCUUGGCCUGGUACAUGUCUUUCAAUUUUGUCCAGAGGACAUAUGCAUCCGUUUCCUUCGCUACAUGAUGGAAGACACUGUAGUCGAUCCAUUGCCUGAUCUGACCGAUUGUUUUCUUGUUUAAUUUCUUCCAUUCUUCUUCUUUGCUGGGAUCGGAAUUUUCUCAUUUAGCUUCUAUAGGAUCAAACAGAUCCUUACAAUUGAGGAGAGUUUCCAUCCGAGGUCUCUAAAGUGUAUAAUUUAUGGUAGUGAGUUUAACCAUAGCUCUCAAAGAUGAUUCUUCCAUUAACAUUAUGGCUUGGCAAAAAAUUGAGUCGAAUUUGGCAAAACAGAGUUACCAGUUGCGUCCGGAAAGGCCGAAAAUGGUGGACUUGACUCUUCCGGUGUCAAAAUAUAGUUACCAAAAUUUUUGGGAAACUUCUGAUGAUGCGGCAGAUUGUGUUAACGUGUCAACACAUGGUAGAUGAUGUGGCCAUUGCGUGGCUGACGAUGUGUUGGGUCGCGUGGUAGAUGAUGUGGCUGCGUGCGAUGAUUUGUCUGCUGACGUGGUCGUCUUCAACCUCCAGACGGCACAUGCAGCGCGUGAGGCUCGUGUUCUGCUGCAGAAAAUUUCAGGCGGUGCGUGAAGGCGCGUUAGGAUCAUCGUUUCUCUCCGACGAACUUGGUUGUUCUCAUCUCGUCGAUUAAUUUCACCUGGUGCCCACAAUUGUUGAGCAAAUUAUUUUUUGGUGUUAAUUGCAGCAACCAUUGUCAACAAUGAUGGCUGAGUAGUCUUCACACUGUCGGUGCAGUGGUGCGGCUGAACUUCACAUUUUAGGCCCUGCCAAUGAAGAUCCAGAAUGCUGUAUUUGCAUAGCCAAGUACAGAGAAAAGGAAGAAGUGAGACAGUUGCCCUGUUCUCAUAUGUUUCAUCUCUAGUGUGUGGGUCAAUGGCUCAAAAUCAUAUCAAGUUGUGCUCUUUGUGAACAAGAACUAGAGAGAUAGAAAUUGCAGAAUUUCGGAUCUGUUAUUUGUUUUGUGUUUUUUUUAAAACAGUCUCUUUUGUGUGUUUUAAUAUACUUUUUUACAUGGUUACUUGGUGAGUUUAUGUUUGUACAAUUGAGCUCACCGGCAACACAAAACCAUACCUGAGAGUCUAGAAUCAAUCUUUGAGCACACACCACAAAAAUAGCAGGAGAUGAUGUUGGAACUUUUCACUCUCUCAGCAUUCCAAGACUUUACAAUACAUAUAUAUAUAUAUAUAUAUAUACAUAUAUAUGUAUGAUUUUUUAGUGUAUCAUAUUGUAGAUAUAAUUUUACCAAAAAUAAUACAGCAACCCAUAUUUAUACAUUAUGGUUACUAUAAUUCUUAUUUCCUUCA